UACAGAGGGUGCAAGCGUUAAUCGGAAUUACUGGGCGUAAAGCGUGCGUAGACGGUUAUGUAAGUCAGAUGUGAAAGCCCCGGGCUCAACCUGGGAAUGGCAUUUGGGACUGCAAGGCUUGAGUGCGGCAGAGGAGACUGGAAUUCCUGGUGUAGCAGUGAAAUGCGUAGAUAUCAGGAGGAAUACCGAUGGCGAAGGCAGGUCUCUGGGCUGACACUGACGCUCAUGCACGAAAGCGUGGGGAGCAAACAGG
rnacentral:rRNA from 1 species